UCAUUUACCCAUACCCUUUUUUUUAAUCAAUAUAGCCAUUCGUCUUUUUUAUAAUGUCGUUGCAACUUCAAUCAAAUUUAUUAAAUACCCAACAAAGUUUUGUUAUUUUCAAUAUCGGUGAGACAUCAUAGUAUGGUCCUCCUAGGUUACGUAAGCCAAUCUACGACCGUCCACGGUAAUGGAUGAAUCGAAUACUUUAGGCAACGUCUCCAUCGUUCCCCAAAAGAGCUAUAGUGUAGAAUCUACAUAUCAUCUAGAUGCUCUCAAACAGCGUAUAGACCAUAGAAAUGAUAUAUUUAAUAGCCUCGAAUCUUGCAAAACAUUCCUCCAAAUUACUUUAUAGCCUUAAUUUUUUGUUCUUUUGCAAUGAUAGGGAAAUGAAAAUGAUAAAUUUCAAAGACUAAUUGAUUCCAAAUUCGAAUCACAUGGAGCCAAACCGGUUCGUCUUUUGAGAUAAGUCUUUGCAUUAUAACUGUAAACACGGGAUAUAUCUCUCAU
rnacentral:lncRNA from 1 species